GAAGAAGGAAGCCCCUUGUAAAACCAUCACACCUCAUGAGAACUUACUCACUAUCAUGAGAAUAGCAUGUGGGGACCGACUCCAUCAUCUAAUUACCUCCCAUGAGGUCCCUCCCCCAACACAUGUGGAUUACAAUUCAGAUUACAAUGCCAGAUGAGAUAUGGGAGGGGACACAAAGCCAGACCAUAACAUUCUGCCCAUAGCCCCUCCCGAAUCUCAUCUUUCUCACAUUUCAAAACAAAAUUAUGCCUUCUCAAUAGUUCCCCAAAGUCUUUAUUCAUUUCAGCAUUAACCCAAAAGUCAAAGUCCAUCGUCUCAUCUGAGACAAGGCAAGUCCUAUUCACCUAUGAGUCUGUAAAAUCAAAAGCAAGUUAGGUACAUCCAAGACACAAUAGGGAUAUAGGCAUUGGGUAAAUACACCCAUUCCAAAAGGUAGAAAAUGGCCAAAACAAAGGGGCUAUAGCCCCAUAAAAUUCUGAAAUGCACUACAGCAGUUAUUACACCUUAAAGUUCCAAAAUGAUCUCCUUUGACUCCAUGUCUCACAUCCAGGUCACACUGAUGCAAGUGUUGGGCUCCCAUAGUGUUGGGCAGCUCCGCCCCUGUGGUUUUGCAGGGUAAAGCCCCCGACCCUAGCUGCUUUCACAGUUGACAUUUAGUGUCUGUGACUUUUCCAGGUGCACUGUGCAAGCUGUGGGUGGAUCUACCAUUCUGGGAACUGGAGGAUGGUGGCCAGUUGUGGGACACUGUGUGGGAGCUCCAACCUUGCAUUCCCCUCUUGCACUACCUAGCAGAGAUUUUCCAUGAGGACUCUACCCUUGCAAACUUCUGUUUAGAUAUCAUUUCCAUACAUCCUCUGAAAUGUAGGCGAAAGUUCCCAAACCUCAAUUUUUGACUUCUGUUCAUCCAUAGGAUCAAUGCCACUUGUAAGCUGCUAAGGCUUGGGGCUUGCACCCUCUGAAGCAAUGGCCUGAGCUGUACAUUGGCUGCUUUUAGUCAUGGCUGAAGCUGAAGUAGCUGGGAUGCAAGGCACCAUGUCCCAAGGCUGCAUAGAGCAGGGGGAAACCAGUUUUCCCUUUUACACCUCCUGGCCUGUGAUAGGAGGGGCUACUAUGAAGGCUCAUAAAUGGAAGAAACUUACUUUGCACCUCAAAUAAGACUUUGGACUUUAAGUUAAUGCUGGAAUGAUUUAAGACAUUUGGAGACUGUUGGGAAGGCAUGAUUGCAUUUUGCUUUGUAAGAAAGAUGUGAGAUUUCGAGGGCCAAGGAUGGAAUGAUGUAGUUUGGAUGUUUGUCCCCUAUAAAUCUCAUGUUGAAAUGUAAUCUCCAGUUUUGUAUGUUGGGCCUGGUAGGAAGUGUUUGGAUCAUUGGGGCAGAUCCCUCAUGAAUGGCUUGGUGCCCUCCUUGUUAAAGUGAGUACAUUCUUGCACUGAAUUAACAUGAGAUCUGGUUAUAUAAAGGAGUGUGUCACUUCCUCUCCCACUUCUCUCACUCCUGCUCUCACUACGUGAUGUGCCUGCUCCCCUUCAUCUUCUGCCAUAAUUGUAAGCUUCCUGUACCCUCACAAGGAACAGAUGCUGGUGCCAUACUUCCUGUGCAGCCUGCAGAACUGUGAGUCAAAAUAAAUCUUCUCUCUUUAUAAAUUACCCAGGCUCAGGUAUUCUUUUAUGGCAAUGCAGUCUAACACAAUGGGCACUCCAUUUCUUUAAGCUUUAGUGUUCUCAUAUGAAAAACAGAGUAAAUAAUAUUUGCCUUAUCAGAUAAAAUUAAGAUUUAAGAUUUGGCUGUAUGUAAAACACCCAGGAUAUAUGUUCUUUGUAGUGGGUUGAAUAGUGUCCCACAAAAUAAAAUGUCCAAGUUCUAAACCCCAAUAUCCAUGAAUGUGACCUCAUUUUAAAUUAGAGAGUUUACAGAUGUAAUUAAGUUAAGAAUCUCAAUUUGAGAUUAUCUUCAAUUUAGGAUAGGCUUUUACUGGUGACCUUUUAAGGGAAAAAUAAAAGAGGGAAAUUGGACACACACAGAAAAGUCUAUGUAAAUUUUGUGGCCGACAUUGAAAGUAUGAAUCCCUUAACCAAGGAUCAUUAAGAGUUGCUGGCAGAAGUUAAAAUAAAAGUGUGGAAUAGAUUCUCCCGUAGAGUCUCCAGAGGGAAUUAAUUCCUGCCAACACCUUGAUUAAGGACUUCUGGCCUCCAAAACUGGAGAAAUACAUUUCUGUUUGUUUUUGUUGUCAAGUAUGUGAUAAUUUGUUACAGCAGCCCUAGGAAACAAAUACAGUCUUCAGAAUUGAUUCUCUUUAAUUCUCAUGUUUUCUAUGAGAUUGUAUAUUUUUAAGGCUGAUAUUGAGUUGGUGUGCACCAAUAUGGCCAUAGAGUUAAAUGUAGCUGGCAUUGAUUUUUUUAUUGCCCCACUCUGAUAAGAUUGGGCCUGUACCAUAAUUGUUAUUAAAUAUUUUAAGUGAUACCCUUCUAUAUUUAUUUUAUUGAUUCAUCCUGACCACCAAGAAAAUGGUCAUGGAUGGUGUAUAUCUUGAGAACAGAAGUAAAUUUAGAAUAGAAGUUUAUGGGAGAUGGAAUGCAACAAAGUAUGGAAGGCAGAGGAUAUGGUCUAACUAGGGUUAUAUUGCCUGGCAAGACAGGAAAUCCUAUGAGUCUUCAGAUGAAAACAGGGAAUAUUCAUUCAUUGCUUUUUAGAGUAGAAAUACAUGUAAGUCCAGAUGCCAUCUGCCUGAAAACAAAAAAAUUAUUCAGUGUGCCAAAUCAGGCAUAUGAACCGGAGUGUCUCUCAAGGUCUUUUCCAAGACUAAACAUCUGUGACCUUUUGGCUAGAUUUCAACUACUUUAGGGCAGCUUCAGACUACAGGAAUAAUUAGAUUGGCAGACUUAGACAGUGCUCUAGGUAUUUAUGGAAAGUGAAAAGUGAACAACAUUUCAUGUUCUUAAGGAUUGUAAAGUCUAAUUAGAAAACUGAGAUGUAAUGUAACAACAAGCAGUAGCAAAUUAUAAAUGUCAUCCAAGAGGCAGUGGCAGAAAUCAAUUCCUGACUUCAUUGUUCAUUAUGGAUCUAGACCAAGAGCUUGCUGUAGGCUAUAGACACCAAAAUGUACCCAUGUAAUGCAUAUGGCUUUUCUUUUACAACUUCAGUUUCAAGAGAUUGAGCAGAGUUUCUCGAUACUAAUUACUCUUAAAAUCAACGAUUUGGUAAGUACAAAAAGGAUUUCAGGUCCAUUUUUUUUUCUUUUUUCAUCAUUGAAUGUAAUAUCAUUGGAAACACAGAAAACUGUAAUCUAUUAACUAUAAUAUCUGCCUUUUGGGAAUCCUAGGUAUUAUUUCAUAUUAUAGACUUUUUUCUCCUUUUAAUCACAAUGUCCUACCAUCCUAUGGAAUAAAUCCUAUUGUCUCUCAACCAAAUGUCUCCUUGGUACAUUUUAAGAUAUUUUCCCAAUGUGAUUGUUGUCAGGCCUCUUAGCUGAAGCUCAGCCAUUGUAACCCUUGUGACCUGAACAUAUACGACCAGAUGGCCUGCAGGAGCCAAGAAGUCUGGGGCAACCUAAAACUACAAAAGAAGUGAAGCAGCCAGCUCCUGUCUUAACUGAUUGACCAACCUUACGACAUUCCAUUAUGACUGGUUCCUGUCCUGCCCCAACUGAUAGAUCGACCUUCUGACAUUCUUCUUCUGAACAAUGAGUCUUAUGAUCUCCCCACCAUGCACCUUGUGACCCCCUCCUCUGCUAACCACAGAUAACCACCUUUAACUGUAACUUUCCACUGCUUCCCCCAGUCCUAUAAAACUCCCCCACCCCUAUCUCCCUUUGCUGACUCUCUUUUCAGACUCAGCCCACUUGCACCCAAGUGAAAUUAACAGCCUUGUUGCUCACACAAAGCCUGUUGGUGGACUCUCUUCAACGGAUGCGCUUGACAACUGUCUUCUCAAAAAGCCGCUCUGUUGGAGUCAUUAUACAUAUCAUCCUAUUACUACUAGGCUUAUUUUCUUGUCAAUGCCUAUGUGGUAAACAUAUCUACUACGUUACUAUAAAGUUUUCAUCAUAUUAUUUAGUUUGCCAAUAGGUUAUUUAACGUAUUUUUACAUUAUGAAUGACACUUCAAUGAAUCAUGAUAAUAUUAAAGUACCAGCUACUAAUAUUUUGUAAUCAGCCCAAAAUGUAAUAAUAACCUGGUUAUAAUUAUCCAUACAUAUUAUAAUAUCUAAUAGCAAAAACGCUUCCAAGUAGUUCUAACAAGGAAGGUAUCUCUUCUAUGAAUCAAUUUUACAAAGAUUUUUAAGAGGUAAUAACCCCAAAUUUUAACAAUUUUAGCAGCUUUGUUUUGGUGCCAAUUCGAGUUGAAAAUGGCACAAACCAUUUUCCAACCUGAGUCAUCCUUUAUACUACUGGCUUUAAAAUUCAAAUAUAAAACAAGUCAUUAGCCUUAUAACGAACUUUUUAAAUGUUAAUUUUUCUUAAUUGAUUUCUCUAGACAUUUUUCUUUGAGAUAGAAAUCAAAUUAUUUUACUGUUUUGGUAGCUCAAUUUCAGUCAUCAUUACUAAGAUUAGUAAUUUUAUAUUUAUCUCUCAAA
rnacentral:lncRNA from 10 species